GGGUGUGAGAGUGAUCUGUCUGUACUGUCACCCCAUUGAUCGCCAGGGUUGAUUUGGCUGAUCUGGCUGGCUUGGCAGGUGUCCCAUUCCUCCUUCACCACUCCCUGUGUGUCCCUCCCUAAGCCAUGAGCUCAGACGAAGAUGAGCUUCCCCCACAGAGGAGGACCAUUCUUUAGUCAAGGGUAUCUGAGUAUCUGUGCUCCACUGCUAGAACCUCCAAACAAACUCUCAAGGACCAAAGCUGCGUUGACCUACAACAGCAGAAUUACAUAGUUUUGAUAUACCAGAUGACUGGCAACCUGAGA
rnacentral:snRNA from 1 species